rnacentral:rRNA from 1 species
AGCGAACGCUGGCGGCAGGCCUAACACAUGCAAGUCGAGCGCCGUAGCAAUACGGAGCGGCAGACGGGUGAGUAACGCGUGGGAACGUGCCCUUUAGUUCGGAAUAACCCAGGGAAACUUGGGCUAAUACCGGAUACGCCCUUCGGGGGAAGGAUUUAUCGCUAAAGGAUCGGCCCGCGUAAGAUUAGCUAGUUGGUGAGGUAACGGCUCACCAAGGCUAUGAUCUUUAGCUGUUCUGAGAGGAAGAUCAGCCACACUGGGACUGAGACACGGCCCAGACUCCUACGGGAGGCAGCAGUGGGGAAUAUUGGACAAUGGGCGCAAGCCUGAUCCAGCCAUGCCGCGUGAGUGAUGAAGGCCUUAGGGUUGUAAAGCUCUUUUACCAGGGAAGAUAAUGACGGUACCUGGAGAAUAAGCCCCGGCUAACUUCGUGCCAGCCGCCGCCGUAACAC